rnacentral:rRNA from 1 species
GAGUUUGAUCCUGGCUCAGAACGAACGCUGGCGGCGUGCCCAACACAUGCAAGUCGAACGUGAUCCAGAGCCUGCUCUGGUGAAAGUGGCGCACGGGUGAGUAACGCGUGGAUAACCUACCCUGGUAUCCGGGAUAACAUUCCGAAAGGGGUGCUAAUACCGGAUAAGCCCACGGGCUCUUUGGAGCUUGCGGGAAAAGGUGGCCUCUAUUUAUAAGCUACUGUAUCAGGAUGGGUCCGCGUACCAUUAGCUAGUUGGCGGUGUAACGGACCACCAAGGCGACGAUGGUUAGCUGGUCUGAGAGGAUGAUCAGCCACACUGGAACUGAGACACGGUCCAGACUCCUACGGGAGGCAGCAGCGGGGAAUUUUGCGCAAUGGGGGAAACCCUGACGCAGCAACGCCGCGUGAGUGAUGAAGGCCUUUGGGUCGUAAAGCUCUGUCAGAGGGGAAGAAAUGAUAUAGUGCUAAUACCACUUUAUCUUGACGGUACCCUCAAAGGAAGCACCGGCUAACUCCGUGCCAGCAGCCGCGGUAAUAC